rnacentral:rRNA from 1 species
UGCCGGACCUGACUGCUAUCGGAUUGAUACUAAGCCAUGCGAGUCAUUGUAGCAAUACAAGGCAUACGGCUCAGUAACGCGUAGUCAACCUAACCUAUGGACGGGAAUAACCUCGGGAAACUGAGAAUAAUGCCCGAUAGAACAUUAUGCCUGGAAUGGUUUAUGUUCCAAAUGAUUUAUCGCCGUAGGAUGGGACUGCGGCCUAUCAGUUUGUUGGUGAGGUAAUGGCCCACCAAGACUAUUACAGGUACGGGCUCUGGGAGGAGUAGCCCGGAGAUGGGUACUGAGACACGGACCCAGGCCCUAUGGGGCGCAGCAGGCGAGAAAACUUUGCAAUGUGCGAAAGCACGACAAGGUUAAUCCGAGUGGUUUCUGCUAAAGAAACCUUUUGUCAGUCCUAGAAACACUGAUGAAUAAGGGGUGGGCAAGUUCUGGUGUCAGCA